CUAGCCCUGACACAGGUGGCUUCCCGUAUCCCGGUGGGAAAACGCCCUGCCACCAGCGGGCUUGAGCUGGCCUGUGUCCCUCCACCGCCUGCACCACCCACCUCCAGAGUGCAGUGCUGGGCAAGGGCAGCUCAAGAGGACAGGACCAGGCGCUUGGCAAGACAUCAGACACACCCAACCCAAAGGCGUGGACCCCAGGCCCGGCCCGUGGUACCCAGCAGGUGGCACUGCAGCUCCCCGCUCCUGCAGGUCCAGCGUCCUCACAGGAACACCAGGGCCUGUGCUCCGGAGCCUUCCUUCAGACCCUUCCUCCACGUGCCCACUUGGGAUGCAGAAUGCAGCGGAGCUAGGACCCCCUCCACGGCCUGGACCUCGGCUGCAGUAAAGUUACGUGAGGCCUGUCUCUCGGGGCCUGGAAGUGGCAGCCAUCAGUUGCUCUUGCUGACCCCUCGGAGCAAGCGCCGCACAGGUGGUGGCUGAGACAGCUGGCGCGGGGGGCCCCAAGCUGCGCCGGCCUCCAGCCCACCCACAGCUGUUGCUGAAGUCAGGCCUCCCUCCCCAGCACUGGUUUCUCUGACGGCCCCACGGCCCGAGCCGCGGUGAGCGUCGUGUUGCAUGAGCCUGGGCCCCGGGCUUCCCGUGCGCCUCUGCCGCAGGUGCUUCUGGGCACCCAUCCUCUGCGUUUCAUUUGCAGUCGACUGUACAGAAGGCACUCACCACAAUAAACCUUUCCU
rnacentral:lncRNA from 1 species